AACGUAGGUUCCGAGCGUUAUCCGGAAUUACUGGGCGUAAAGCGCGUGUAGGCGGUUGGCCAAGUCGGGUGUGAAAGCCUUGAGCUCAACUCAAGAAAUGCACUCGGUACUGGGUGACUAGAGGACCGGAGAGGAUAGUGGAAUUCCCAGUGUAGUGGUGAAAUACGUAGAGAUUGGGAAGAACACCAGUGGCGAAGGCGGCUAUCUGGACGGUUUCUGACGCUAAGACGCGAAAGCGUGGGGAGCAAACAGG
rnacentral:rRNA from 1 species